UAGUAGUAUGCAUUUUCUAAAAUAAUAGGAGUCAUAUGCUGACAUUCUCUCUGCUUAAAAUAAAGUUAUUUCUUAACUAUGCCUGUCUGCUAUACCUGUGUAGCUGCCAGGGACGUUUGGUCCCAUGCAU
rnacentral:snoRNA from 1 species